CUGCUGCCUUCCGUAGGAGUCUGGUCCGUGUCUCAGUACCAGUGUGGGGGACCUUCCUCUCAGAGCCCCUACGCAUCGUCGCCUCGGUGGGCCGUUACCCCGCCGACUAGCUAAUGCGACGCAUGGCCAUCCUAUGCCGGAGUCGCCUCCUUUGACCCCCAAGAAGAUGUCUCCUAAAGGUGUUAUGCGGUAUUAGACGGAAUUUCUUCCGCUUAUCCCCCUGCAUAGGGCAGGUUCCAUACGUGUUACUCACCCGUGCCG
rnacentral:rRNA from 1 species